rnacentral:rRNA from 1 species
UACGGAGGGUGCAAGCGUUAUCCGGAUUCACUGGGUUUAAAGGGUGCGUAGGCGGGCAGGUAAGUCCGUGGUGAAAUCUCUGAGCUUAACUCAGAAACUGCCAUGGAUACUAUUUGUCUUGAAUGUUGUGGAGGUAAGCGGAAUAUGUCAUGUAGCGGUGAAAUGCUUAGAUAUGACAUAGAACACCAAUCGCGAAGGCAGCUUACUACACAAAUAUUGACGCUGAGGCACGAAAGCGUGGGGAUCAAACAGG